rnacentral:lncRNA from 1 species
UUUAUCCCUUUGUGACUUAAAACAUGUAUAGAAUUAGUUCUGGACCUAAUUUUUAAAUUGUAUCACAUUAAGUGUAUUUAGAAAUUUUUUUCCUCUAAUUUUUUCUUUUAAUUUAGAGAGGGUUGUUUUUUCAUACUUUGUAAUGCACAUAAAUAUAUUUUGUCUUUGUAAUUGGAUAUUAAUUUUUCCUGCUACUGAAUUAUAAUAUUCAAAAUUGUAUUUGCUACAUAAAUACAUGUGUAUUUAUAUGUGUAUUAUAAGGCAAGCCAUCUGUUAUUUAAUUCCUUAUUGUAUAAUGAUAUGUGUUGUAACAGACUACUUUGAAAAUGAAUAUGUAACACAUAUACUGAUGGAAUAUUUUGAUAGUUCAGUAAACAAAUCAUCAUAGCUCC